GAUGAACGCUGGCGGCGUGCCUAAUACAUGCAAGUCGAGCGAACAGACGAGGCGCUUGCUCCUCUCACGUUAGCCGCGGACGGGUGUGUCACACGUGGAUCCCCUCCCUAUAUUACUGGUAUAACUUCGAGACACCGGAUCUUAUACCGGAUAAUAUAUUGAACCGCAUGGUUCAUUGGUAAGAGUCGGCUUUGCGGUCACGUCUAGCUGGAUCCGCGCCGGAUUAGCUAGUUGUGAAGGUAACGGCUUACGAAGGCAACGAGGCGUGGCCGAACUGAGAGGGUGAUAGGCGACACUGGAACUGAGACACGGUCCAGAGUACUGCGAGAGGGAGCAGUAGGGAAUCUUACGCAGUGGGCGAAAGCAUGACGGAGCAACGGGGCGCCAGUGAUGAAGGUCUUGGGAUCGUAAAAAUCUGUUAUUAGGGAAGAACAAAUGUGUAAGUUACUAUGCACGGCUUGACGGUACCUAAUCAGAAAGCCACGGCUAACUACGUG
rnacentral:rRNA from 1 species